rnacentral:rRNA from 1 species
AUUGAACGCUGGCGGCAUGCCUUACACAUGCAAGUCGAACGGCAGCAUGAUCUAGCUUGCUAGAUUGAUGGCGAGUGGCGAACGGGUGAGUAAUACAUCGGAACGUGCCCUGUAGUGGGGGAUGACUAGUCGAAAGAUUAGCUAAUACCGCAUACGACCUGAGGGUGAAAGUGGGGGACCGCAAGGCCUCAUGCUAUAGGAGCGGCCGAUGUCUGAUUAGCUAGUUGGUGAGGUAAAGGCUCACCAAGGCGACGAUCAGUAGCUGGGCUGAGAGGACGAUCAGGCACACUGGGACUGAGACACGGCCCAGACUCCUACGGGAGGCAGCAGUGGGGAAUUUUGGACAAUGGGGGCAACCCUGAUCCAGCAAUGCCGCGUGUGUGAAGAAGGCCUUCGGGUUGUAAAGCACUUUUGUCCGGAAAGAAAUCGCACUUACUAAUAUUAGGUGUGGAUGACGGUACCGGAAGAAUAAGGACCGGCUAACUACGUGCCAGCCGCCGCAGUAAUAC